rnacentral:rRNA from 1 species
GCUGAAAUCAGUCGAAGAUACCAGCUGGCUGCAACUGUUUAUUAAAAACACAGCACUGUGCAAACACGAAAGUGGACGUAUACGGUGUGACGCCUGCCCGGUGCCGGAAGGUUAAUUGAUGGGGUUAUCCGUAAGGAGAAGCUCUUGAUCGAAGCCCCGGUAAACGGCGGCCGUAACUAUAACGGUCCUAAGGUAGCGAAAUUCCUUGUCGGGUAAGUUCCGACCUGCACGAAUGGCGUAAUGAUGGCCAGGCUGUCUCCACCCGAGACUCAGUGAAAUUGAACUCGCUGUGAAGAUGCAGUGUACCCGCGGCAAGACGGAAAGACCCCGUGAACCUUUACUAUAGCUUGACACUGAACACUGGUCCUUGAUGUGUAGGAUAGGUGGGAGGCUUUGAAGUGUGGACGCCAGUCUGCAUGGAGCCAUCCUUGAAAUACCACCCUUUAAUGGCUGGUGUUCUAACGUGGGCCCGUAAUCCGGGUUGCGGACAGUGUCUGGUGGGUAGUUUGACUGGGGCGGUCUCCUCCUAAAGAGUAACGGAGGAGCACGAAGGUCAGCUAAUCCUGGUCGGACAUCAGGAGGUUAGUGCAAUGGCAUAAGCUGGCUUGACUGCGAGCGUGACGGCGCGAGCAGGUGCGAAAGCAGGUCAUAGUGAUCCGGUGGUUCUGAAUGGAAGGGCCAUCGCUCAACGGAUAAAAGGUACUCCGGGGAUAACAGGCUGAUACCGCCCAAGAGUUCAUAUCGACGGCGGUGUUUGGCACCUCGAUGUCGGCUCAUCACAUCCUGGGGCUGAAGUAGGUCCCAAGGGUAUGGCUGUUCGCCAUUUAAAGUGGUACGCGAGCUGGGUUUAGAACGUCGUGAGACAGUUCGGUCCCUAUCUGCCGUGGGCGCUGGAGAAUUGAGGGGGGCUGCUCCUAGUACGAGAGGACCGGAGUGGACGCAUCACUGGUGUUCGGGUUGUCAUGCCAAUGGCAUUGCCCGGUAGCUAAAUGCGGAAGAGAUAAGUGCUGAAAGCAUCUAAGCACGAAACUUGCCCCG